rnacentral:misc_RNA from 1 species
GUACCAAAUUGGCGUCCCCGCCGGCUGGGUGGUGGUCUUGGAACUACCAGAGUGGGAGGUGAAGACAAUAGCCAGAGGCACUCUGGAAGGGAACAACAGCAAGCUGGUGCACCAUCUAGAUCAGAGGAGCCUAGGGCUCGUGAAGAUCGCCAUGGAGAGCGAGAUAGGGAAAAGUCUUAUGACAAAGGAAGAGACCGAGAAAGAGAUAGAGAGAAGUCUCGCGAACGUUCCCAUGAGAGAUCUAAGGACCGUGACGUCAGAGAAGACAGGCAUCACAGAGAUCGUGAUAGGACUAGGGAUAGAGAUAGGGAUAGGGAUAGAGAGAGAGAUCGUGGCUAUGAACGUGAUAGAACACGUGAUCGAGGACGGGAUCGAGGUCGUGACUAUGAGCGUGACAGAGAUCGUGAUCGCGAUCGUCAUCGGGAUAGAGAUAGGGAGAGGGAUCGGGAUCGGGAUCAUGA